GCCCAGAUGGCGGAGUGGUUAACGCAACGGAUUGCUAAUCCGUGCCCUUUCGGGGGCGCGCAAGUUCGAAUCUUGCUCUGGGCG
rnacentral:tRNA from 1 species